rnacentral:lncRNA from 1 species
CAGCAGCCCGAUAGUUACGAGAAUACAUCUCUCUUCUCAUCAGCGAAGACUGAUGAUUGUUACGGUCCGUUCCUUGAUUAUCACGGUCGUUUUGACGCGCCGGUAACUGCAUACGUGCGAAUACAUCUGAGUGGUCAACUGAAGAUUGUCCGGUCUCAAUGUAAGGGCAAUGCGCUUUCUCAUGUGAGAGCAUACCGCAAGUAGCGCAAUGUUUAAAUAGCUUAUCAUACUUGAUCUCAAUCGUGACCUCAUCACCUUCAUAUUCAACCUUCCGGGAGAACUUUAAAGGACGUCGCG